rnacentral:rRNA from 1 species
ACGCUCGACACCUACGGGAGCAGCAGUGGGGAAUAUUGCACAAUGGGGGAAACCCUGAUGCAGCGACGCCGCGUGAAGGAUGGAGUAUUUCGGUAUGUAAACUUCUAUCAGCAGGGAAGAAAGUGACGGUACCUGACUAAGAAGCCCCGGCUAACUACGUGCCAGCAGCCACGGUAAUCUGAGCGGGCUGGCAAGGC